rnacentral:rRNA from 1 species
GAUGAACGCUGGCGGCGUGCCUAAUACAUGCAAGUCGAGCGAACGGACGAGAAGCUUGCUUCUCUGAUGUUAGCGGCGGACGGGUGAGUAACACGUGGAUAACCUACCUAUAAGACUGGGAUAACUUCGGGAAACCGGAGCUAAUACCGGAUAAUAUCUUGAACCGCAUGGUUCAAAAGUGAAAGACGGUCUUGCUGUAACUUAUAGAUGGAUCCGCGCUGCAUUAGCUAGUUGGUAAGUUAACGGCUUACCAAGGCAACGAUGCAUAGCCGACCUGGGAGGGUGAUCGGCCACACUGGAACUGAGACACGGUCCAGACUCCUACGGGAGGCAGCAGUAGGGAAUCUUCCGCAAUGGGCGAAAGCCUGACGGAGCAACGCCGCGUGAGUGAUGAAGGUCUUCGGAUCGUAAAACUCUGUUAUUAGGGAAGAACAUAUGUGUAAGUAACUGUGCACAUCUUGACGGUACCUAAUCAGAAAGCCACGGCUAACUACGUG